rnacentral:rRNA from 1 species
GAUCGAGUUGUAAUUUGAAGAUGGCGUUUUCUGUGUUUCUGAUCAGUCCAAGUCCUUUGGGAUAAGGCAUCAUGGAUGGUGAGAAUCCCGUUCGGUUGAUCAGAUUCGCUUUACGAUACGUUAUCAAAGAGUCAAGUUGUUUGGGAUUGCAGCUUAAAAUGGGAGGUAAAUUUCUUCCUAAGGCUAAAAGAACGGCGAGAGACCGAUAGCGAACAAGUACC